rnacentral:rRNA from 1 species
GACGGAGGAUGCAAGUGUUAUCCGGAAUCACUGGGCGUAAAGCGUCUGUAGGUGGUUUAAUAAGUCAACUGUUAAAUCUUGAGGCUCAACUUCAAAAUCGCAGUCGAAACUAUUAGACUAGAGUAUAGUAGGGGUAAAGGGAAUUUCCAGUGGAGCGGUGAAAUGCGUAGAGAUUGGAAAGAACACCAACGGCGAAAGCACUCUGCUGGGCCGACACUGACACUGAGAGACGAAAGCUAGGGGAGCGAAUGGG